rnacentral:misc_RNA from 1 species
UGUACGGGACGCACUUCGAUCCUCCGGCGGCACCUUCUUUCGGAGGUGUUGUCGGAACGUCCGGUGUAUCCCGUCUAGCGAUGGGACGACGCAUGAGUGGUUUCCAGGAUAUGUUUCCAUGCAGGCUCCGUGUAUCUYGCAUCGAACUGCAUGGGUCUAUCUAUUUCAUUCGUGGGUUCGCCUCGACGUAUUCAGGUUCGGUUGGGAAUGCUCGUUGUGUUACUGUGCUCGAUAUUGAAUUACGGAGUUGGAUGGAUCGGUAUUCCUCGUAUGUUUGAUCGAUCGUCGUCCGCCGUGCGCGGCGACGGCGGAUAUGGUGCGGGCAUCGACGUUCUAUUCGAGCCGUCGUCCCCUUUGGGCGCUUCUGCUCGUGAUGGCGCGUUGAUGCUGGCGGCUCUUUCGGGUGCGGAGAUUUCCUGGUUGUCGCUUUGGUCUUCGACCUUUGUGAACGUAUCGUAUCGAAGCAUUCUUGCUUCUGCAUGUAUGACCCUCGUGCUCGUCUAAGAGCUCACGGAGCCCCUUCGUUCGGUGUUCUCCUAGGGGAGCUAUCGAGGUCUACGGAAGGAAUGCUACCUGGUUGAU